ACCGAUACUGCGCUAAUCUACGACGCCCUCGGCUUGUUUGUUCGAGCACUUCACGACCUGGAUAGAACACAAACCAUCGAUGUCCAGCGUCUGUCAUGUGACGACAAUGUCUUUUGGAACCACGGAAAUUCCAUUAUUGCCUACAUGAAAGUUCUCAUCAGGGAAGGAAUAUCUC